rnacentral:rRNA from 1 species
GUGAAUCAUCGAAUCUUUGAACGCACCUUGCGCUCCUGGGCUAUUCCUAGGAGCAUGCCUGUUUGAGUGUCUUGAAAUCAUCAACCCCAGUUGGAUUUUAAAUUUGACUGGUGGCUUGGACUUGGGGGCUUGCUGGCCGUUUUGAUUCGGUCUGGCUUCCCUUGAAUGCAUUAGCUUGGACUUGUUCCUAAGGCUUCAUGGCGUGAUAAUUAUCUACGCUUUGUACUGUCUGUGGAAUAUCUAUGGGUCUGGCUUCUAACUGUCCUCUGGACAAUCUUUCAAUCUUUGACCUCAAAUCAGGUAGGACUACCCGCUGAACUUAA